UGGCGAACGGGUGAGUAACACGUGAGCAACCUGCCCUUGACUUUGGGAUAACUUCAGGAAACUGGGGCUAAUACCGGAUAGGAGCUCCUGCUGCAUGGUGGGGGUUGGAAAGUUUCGGCGGUUGGGGAUGGACUCGCGGCUUAUCAGCUUGUUGGUGGGGUAGUGGCUUACCAAGGCUUUGACGGGUAGCCGGCCUGAGAGGGUGACCGGCCACAUUGGGACUGAGAUACGGCCCAG
rnacentral:rRNA from 1 species